CUAAAAUCAACGGAACGGUGAGCCCCAAAAAUCGAAAGCCCUAGUUCGUUCGAUGAUUGAUUCGCAUCAUUCGAAUCCCUGGAUGAAUUGAAUCGAAAGAGGCGAGACUCGGGAUUACAAUUUAGGAAGCCGGAGAGGAAGUUUCGGCCGUACUCCGAGAUGACUGGGGUUUGCGCUCGAUCACGAUGUGAAGACCAGAUUUGAGUGAAAACGCCGUUACCGCAAAGUAUAAGCCUUUCCCCGAACCUGCUAAAUGGACAAAAUUAUUUCUAUGGCGAGUUUGCUUGUGUUAAUACUGGUUUUGCGUUCAAAUUGGUACAGUUAUUGCUUGUGCCUACUUCCCAAGCUCCUCCGCCCAAGUCCAGCCCCGCCUGCCGAACCCGCAUAUUCGA
rnacentral:lncRNA from 1 species